rnacentral:rRNA from 1 species
UACAGAGGGUGCGAGCGUUGUUCGGAAUUACUGGGCGUAAAGGGCGUGUAGGCGGGAAGGCAAGUCGGGCGUGAAAGCCCCAGGCUCAACCUGGGAACUGCACUCGAAACUGCCUUUCUUGAGUGCCGGAGAGGAAAGCGGAAUUCCUGGUGUAGAGGUGAAAUUCGUAGAUAUCAGGAGGAACACCAGUGGCGAAGGCGGCUUUCUGGACGGUAACUGACGCUGAGACGCGAAGCGUGGGGAGCAAACAGG